ACUCAGCUGACGAGUCCCGAAUAGGACGAAACGCGCGUCAAACUGGAU
rnacentral:hammerhead_ribozyme from 1 species